CAUGAUAGAAUUUUUUGUAAUCCAUGAUCGAAUUUUUUGUAAUCCAUGAUCGAAAUGUUUGUUUUUUUUUCUUGUAAUCCAUGAUCAAAUUUUUUGUUUUUUUUGUUUUUUUUAACCCAUGAUAGAAUUUUUGGUAAUCCAUGAUCGAAUUGUUUUUUUCUUUUUUUGUAAUCCACGAUGGAAUUUUUUGUUUUUUUAUGUUUUUUUUUUUU
rnacentral:lncRNA from 1 species